rnacentral:rRNA from 1 species
UACAGAGGUCCCGAGCGUUGUUCGGAUUCAUUGGGCGUAAAGGGUGCGUAGGCGGCGGGGAAAGUCUGAUGUGAAAUCCUGGGGCUCAACCCUGGAACUGCAUUGGAUACUUCCUUGCUAAAGUACUGGAGAGGAAACUGGAAUUUACGGUGUAGCAGUGAAAUGCGUAGAGAUCGUAAGGAAGACCAGUGGCGAAGGCGAGUUUCUGGACAGUUACUGACGCUGAGGCACGAAGGCCAGGGGAGCAAACGGG